GACGAACGCUGGCGGCGUGCCUAAUACAUGCAAGUAGAACGCUGAAGAGAGGAGCUUGCUCUUCUUGGAUGAGUUGCGAACGGGUGAGUAAUGCGUAGGUAACCUGCCUGGUAGCGGGGGAUAACUAUUGGAAACGAUAGCUAAUACCGCAUGAAAUGGAUUAUCGCAUGAUAAUUCAUUGAAAGGUGCAAAUGCAUCACUACCAGAUGGACCUGCGUUGUAUUAGCUAGUUGGUGGGGUAACGGCUCACCAAGGCGACGAUACAUAGCCGACCUGAGAGGGUGAUCGGCCACACUGGGACUGAGACACGGCCCAGACUCCUACGGGAGGCAGCAGUAGGGAAUCUUCGGCAAUGGACGGAAGUCUGACCGAGCAACGCCGCGUGAGUGAAGAAGGUUUUCGGAUCGUAAAGCUCUGUUGUAAGAGAAGAACGAGUGUGAGAG
rnacentral:rRNA from 1 species